rnacentral:rRNA from 1 species
GACGAACGCUGGCGGCGUGCUUAACACAUGCAAGUCGAACGGAAAGGCCCUGCUUUUGUGGGGUGCUCGAGUGGCGAACGGGUGAGUAACACGUGAGUAACCUGCCCUUGACUUUGGGAUAACUUCAGGAAACUGGGGCUAAUACCGGAUAGGAGCUCCUGCUGCAUGGUGGGGGUUGGAAAGUUUCGGCGGUGGGGGAUGGACUCGCGGGUUAUCAGCUUGUUGGUGUGGUAGUGGCUUACCAAGGCUGUGACGGGUAGCCGGCCUGAGAGGGUGACCGGCCACAUUGGGACUGAGAUACGGCGCAGACUCCUACGGGAGGCAGCAGUGGGGAAUAUUGCACAAUGGGCGGAAGCCUGAUGCAGCAACGCCGCGUGCGGGAUGACGGCCUUCGGGUUGUAAACCGCUUUCGACUGUGACGAAGCGUGAGUGACGGUAAUGGGUAAAGAAGCACCGGCUAACUACGUG